GUUAAGCAGAUAAUUAGGUAUUUCAUAUUGGUGUUUGAACUGAUGUUCCGAGAAAUAACCAAAACUUAAUGAAAUAGUCGUCUAUAAGAGCUGAUGGUGAAAGUCGAAGACAAAAAAGCAUGCAUGAGAGCUUACUCUUAAGGUUGACGCAUGACACAUGACGCAUCAAACAUGUCAUAUAUUAGUAGACUUAAGUUUUU
rnacentral:lncRNA from 1 species